GCCUAAGUGAGGAGAAAAGCUCACGGGGUGGAAACAAGGAAACACGCCGAGUGAGUUUUUUAAA
rnacentral:ncRNA from 2 species